rnacentral:sRNA from 12 species
UACACCGCAGGCGUUUGAAAUAACGCUAACCAGUGGAAAUUGAACCGAUAAAGGCAGGGCUUAGUAAGCGAAAGCCCACCAGCCCUGAGGUGAUAAGA